rnacentral:tRNA from 1 species
ACUCCAGUAGCUUAACAAUCAAAGCAUUGGUCUUGUAAACCAAAGACUGAAGACUACAAUCUUCCUGGAAUUA